rnacentral:rRNA from 1 species
AGAACGAACGCUGGCGGCAUGCCUAACACAUGCAAGUCGAACGUGAUCCAGGCUUCGGCCUGGUGAAAGUGGCAGACGGGUGAGUAACGCGUGGGAACCUGCCCUGUGGUAGGGAAUAACCGUGGGAAACUGCGGCUAAUACCCUAUGAGUCCUUCGGGAGAAAGAUUUAUCGCCAUAGGAGGGGCCCGCGUCGGAUUAGGUAGUUGGUGGGGUAACGGCCUACCAAGCCUUCGAUCCGUAGCUGGUCUGAGAGGAUGAUCAGCCACACUGGGACUGAGAUACGGCCCAGACUCCUACGGGAGGCAGCAGUGGGGAAUAUUGGACAAUGGGGGCAACCCUGAUCCAGCAAUGCCGCGUGGAUGAUGAAGGCCUUCGGGUUGUAAAGUCCUUUCGGCGGGGAAGAUGAUGACGGUACCGCAGAAGAGCCCCGGCUAACGUUCGCGCCAGCAGCCGC